ACUAUUUUGACAGAAAAAUGUGAUGAUUUUAGAAGUCAUUAAUAUAUAAAUUUAUUAUAUAUAUAGUA
rnacentral:tRNA from 1 species